CUUAAAACAAUAGAUAAUGAGUUGAAUAUAAAAUCAGCUAAAGGAACUGAUGGGGUUGCAGUAACAGUCCUCAAAAAUAUUUCUAAGCUAAGGUAUAGUUUUAAAGGCGAUCCUGCAGCAUUCAAAAGCUAUCUUAAAAAAAACAAUGUUGCUCCAGGGCUAUUCCUUAGAUAUGUUGGUAGUAGAUUUCAUGUUUUGUUCCAUAUGGCAGGGAUUGUUGUUACAUACGAAAGACUUAUAAAAACCUUUCUUGAAAACAACACCAAAAAUAAAAUUUGCUAACUCUUACUUCAAGAUAUGAGUAAUGAUAUAACGCUUGUGCAACUGCAAGGGUUGGGCCUGAUAGGAAAAAUAAUAGCUGGGCCAUGGAUGAGUCUGGUUUAUAAAAAUGCAACAGGAAAGAGUAAUCUUGAGUUUGGUGACAUUUUCCAGAAAGCAAUAAGGAAAUUAGCGUACUUCAAAAGUAAUCCAGAAUCAAUUCUUUAUACAGAUGUGGAUAUUUUUAGUCAAGUAUUAAAUAUCAAAAAAGAUAAGAUACACCAAUCCCUUUGUGUAAUAAAAAAUAAAAAUAUUUUGGUAAAGAUUUUAUCAGCUUUAAUAAGCUACACAGAGACAGUUCUC